rnacentral:rRNA from 1 species
UACGAAGGGGGCUAGCGUUGUUCGGAAUUACUGGGCGUAAAGCGCACGUAGGCGGAUACUUAAGUCAGGGGUGAAAUCCCGGGGCUCAACCCCGGAACUGCCUUUGAUACUGGGUAUCUCGAGACCGGGAGAGGUGAGUGGAAUUCCCAGUGUAGCGGUGAAAUGCGUAGAUAUUGGGAGGAACACCAGUGGCGAAGGCGGCUCACUGGACCGGAACUGACGCUGAUGCGCGAAAGCGUGGGGAGCAAACGGG